GACCUAUGUCAGCUUGUUUCUUAGACCUAGUCCUAGGUGAUAGUACAUUUGAAUAACAUAAGAUUUUUGGCAGGCUACGCGAGAUAGGGACAUGGAAAAGACUCCCAAUGUAUAAUUGUCUAAUAUUCAUUACAUGUUAUGGUGUGGAAACCUUAAAACGAGCAUCGGGACCAUAUCGACCUUUGUCAUCAUGCAGCCGAGACCUAGUACUAGGUAAUAGUACAUAUGAAUAACCUAGGAUUUUAAGCAUGCUAUGCGAGAUAGGGACAUGGAAAAGGCUCCCAAUGCAUGUUUGAUUCAUAUUAUAUACAUGUUUUGGUGCGGAAACCUGAUAACGAGCAAGGUGACCAAAGCGACCUAUGUCACCAUGUAGGACAGACCUAGUACUAGAUGAUAGUACAUAUGAAUUAUCUAGGAUUUUAGGCAGGCUAUGCGAGAUAGGGACAUGGAUAAUGCUCUCAAGGUCCAUUGUCCUAAUAUUCAUUACAUGUUAUUGUGCAAAAACCUUCAAACGAGCAAGGGGACCAUACCACCCUAUGUCAGCGUGUAGCUUAGACCAAGACCUAGGUGAUAGUACAUAUUAAUUACCUAGGAUUUUAGGUAGACUAUGGGUGAUAGGGACAACAUGGAAAAGGCUCCCAAUGCCUAUUUUCCUCAUAUUCAUUACAUGUUAUAGUGCAAAAACCUUAAGACGAGCAAAGGGACCAUAGCGACCUAUGGCAGGUCGUUGCUUAAACCUUAUCCUAGGUGAUAGUACAUAUGAAUUACAUAGGAUUUAAGGCAGAUUGUGCGAGAAAGUGAUAUGGAAAAGGCCCCAAAUGGCUAUUUUUAACUCAUAUUCAUUAAAUAGUACGGUGCAGAAACCUUAAAACGAGCAAGAUGACAAUAGUGACCUAUGUCAGCUCGUGGAUUAAACCUAGUCCUAUGUGAUAGUAUAUAUGUAUUACCAGGAUUUUAGGCAGGCUAUGCGAGAAAGGGACAUGGAAAAGGCUCCAAAUCCCUAUUUGCCUCAUAUUAUUACAUCCCAGCAAGCAAGGCUAAAUGGGUCCCAUAUGGGCUGAAUCUGGGCAAAAAGCCCAUAUGGGGCCCAUAUAGGACCCAUAUGGUUGAGAAUGCCCAGAUGGGACCCAGAUGGGACCCAUAUAGCUGUUCAUCUAUAUUGAUUGGAUAUACAAAGGGAAACGAAGAUCAUUGUUAUAUGAAAAUAUGUAAACAUCGAUACUAUGUGAAAAAAGUUCAUUAUUUCAUGAAUCGGAUUCACAUCUUUUGACAUGAUAUGCCCCAGAUAGGUCCCAUAUGGGUCCCAUAUACUCGGCAUUAUCAUUAUAGUAGGGCAGUGUUAGAUGGUAAGGCACGAUGUUGUGGCGAUGAUACAUAAAUACACAAGGAAAAAAUAUUUUUCCGUAUUUUCAUUUUUUUAUUACUUCUUAAAUAUAAACCUUUUGCAAUUGUGUUUUUAGUAGCAAUUUAGUCACGAAUAAAAAAAAAUAUGCAGAAAAAAUUGUCACGUGACAUUUUAUAGACGCGCGGAUGAUGAACGUGAUUGAGUGAAAAAAUAAUGGUUAAAUUCAUCUUUUAAGAACAGUGCACCAAGGAUCGAGGCUGUACGAGGAUAUGAGCCAGUGUGCCACUGAUGCUAAUGGUGAUGAUGAGGAUGAUGGCCUUGUUACAGUCAAGACCAACACCCCCCAACAUUCCAGCUACCUGUUCAUUAUUCGAUGCUCGGCAGAGCAGAAUCCAAAAAGAUCAGGACACCUGGAUCUUUGUGAUUUUGGAAAACCAGCAGGAGCAAUUGCGAUAACAUACGCAGCUCCUGCGUCUCAUCCUGGCGAGAGAUUCAGCACAAGAUGCAGGUCCGAGUGAGUUGCCAGAGGAGAUAUCUUUCCCCCUCAAAACUGUGGUGGAUUUGGCAGCCUUCAAAGAGCGAAAGUCACAAGCGAAUGCUGCAACAUCCAUUGUAAAAAACUUGGCAGAAUAUGGUGGGAGUGACACAGUGGACACGUUUUCCCGGAUAAUGAAGACGGUGUUUUGUAAUGAUGCACUCCAUGCUCUGUUUAUUAGAAUUGUGCGUCUUUCGAUUAGUGUAUUUUUUUUUAAACACAUUCGUUAAAGCAUUCGGAGCUCCGCGGCCAUUUUUAUCGAAAACAACCUUUGAUGUAUGCCGGUACAUCAGUUAAAUUUCUUAAUUAUAUCAUUAAUUAAAUGUAGGGUUUUAGAAUUGUUUUUAUUAAUCUAAGAUUAAAUUGAUUGCCAGUGAAGUGUAAUAUUGCAAACAUAAUUAAGAUUCCCAAGAGUUAAGUCAUAAAGUUUAACUGCUAAAAAAAUUACUACGCGAUCUACUUGCAGCGGACUUAAACGUACCGCUUUUUGAGUAUGUAAACCGUCCAAAUACAUCAGAGGUUGUUUUUGAUAAAAUGGCCGAGGAGCUCCGAAUGUCGUUAAAGUCUUUAAAAAGUGUGUGUUUUUUACAUGUAAUUUUUGACACACUUUUUCAGUUUGACAGCUUUAACUGACAGAUACAAUCAAUAAAACAGUUUUCACUUAUUAUUAAGUUAUUAAUCAAAUUAUAAAUGUACUAGAUAGUUUUAGCUUGGUAUUGUCAAACCAAACUGAAAAAAAUGUGUCAUAAUUUCAGUGACAUUUUUCUUGUGUGCCACUUUUAUAUUGCCAGUAUUACGCAAAAUCUUAACAUUGUCAGUAUGUAAUUUUUGUUGUCUUUUUUAGUGUACAUCUUGUUUUACAUUUCUAAUGUUUUCAUGUUAAUAAACUUAAUAAGAUUA